UCCUAUGGGAGGCAGCAGUGAGGAAUAUUGGUCAAUGGUCGGGAGACUGAACCAGCCAAGCCGCGUGAGGGAUGAAGGUACAGAGUAUCGUAAACCUCUUUUGUCAGGGAACAAAGGCGGGGACGUGUCCCCGGAUGAGUGUACCUGAAGAAAAAGCAUCGGCUAACUCCGUGCCAGCAGCCGCGGUAAUACGGAGGAUGCGAGCGUUAUCCGGAUUUAUUGGGUUUAAAGGGUGCGUAGGCGGAAGGUUAAGUCAGCGGUCAAAUGUCGGUGCUCAACACCGGCCUGCCGUUGAAACUGGUCUU
rnacentral:rRNA from 1 species